rnacentral:misc_RNA from 1 species
GAUGAAGAACGUAGCGAAAUGCGAUAAGUAAUGUGAAUUGCAGAAUUCAGUGAAUCAUCGAAUCUUUGAACGCACAUUGCGCCCCUUGGUAUUCCGAGGGGCAUGCCUGUUCGAGCGUCAUUAUAACCCUUCAAGCUCAGCUUGGUGUUGGGGCCUGCUGUAACUGGUAGCCCUUAAAAUCAGUGGCAGUGCUAUUAGGCUCUAAGCGUAGUAGUUCUUCUCGCUAUAGUGUGUAGUGAGCGCUUGCCAGAACCCCAAACUUUUAUAUGAUUGACCUCGGAUCAGGUAGGGAUACCCGCUGAACUUAAGCAUAUCAAUAAGCGGAGGA